AACUGUUUAACAGGGAGUUUCUUGCUAGAAAGGGAUAUAACACUUUGGUCUGGAGAAAAUGCUCCACCCUGUGUGCAGUUUGUGCUUUGUGUGGCAUGGAGCUCACCAUACUGCUGUCAGGCUCUCUCCCAGCUGGUUUCAGAAUUGUAUGAAGAUGUUGCUCUUACUUUUUCCUGUUGAAUGAGUUAUUUGAGAGAGGGGGGCAUCUUCAGGUGAGAAUCAGAGCUUCUGUCAUAGGAGGAGCUUUGAAAGAAAAUGACACACAAACACUUUCUUCUUGGUGUCUAGGUAGAAAAGAUGUUAAAAAAAGUGAAGCAGAAGAGAAAGGUGCAAAGUGAGAGGGUGUGGAGAAGCAGAUGCAGAGCUGCAGCUUAGAAUGUAUUUCAAAGUCAGUAAUUCAUACUUUAAGGAAAAAUGAGAUCAGGCUAUCCUGUGCUCUGCAGCAUCAGCUGUAAGAUCUUCAGCAGUGGUAUCUGUGCCAAGUGCUCAGCUUCUGUCUGGAUGUGACCUCUGGGAAGAGCUCAGAUGUAAAAGACCAGCUGAAUUUUCGGAAGUUUUUAGGACAGUUAGUUUUUAAAAAUAAAAUUUCGGAAGUUUAAGCAUCUUGAGAAACAGAUGAAUUUGAGAAUUAGGAAAUCUUCAGCUGAUCUAAUUCUCCUUUUGCCAGCACUUCCAAUGUAAGUUUGCUAUAAUGAAUAAUUACUUCCAGGCUGAAUGUCUGGCUUCAACUGCCAGCCAUUUCUCUGCUGAUUAUGUUUAACCCCUUAAACCAUUUUUUCAUAGAAUCAGAGCUCCUGGAAUAUGAUUCUGUCAUUUCUUUUUCCCUUACAGACUGAGCCCUCAAACUAGGUGAGAAGCAGGUUUUUCAGGUCACACAUUGCUACAGCUCUUCCCUGAGCUGCCCUCAAGGCUGACAGAGGGCUGAUGAGGGGUGCAGGUCCUCCUCUCAGAUCCAGAAAAAUAGGAUGGGACCCCUAUGGUUGUUACAUGUGUAGGAUUCCCACUGGUGCUUCUCACUCCCACUGAUGUUGGGACUUUGUAAGAAGGACAGCCAGGCAGUGCUCUGAAUGAUCCUGAGGGCUGUUCCAUCUUCCUCAGCUUCCAGCAAACCCAGUGUGGCAAGGCAAAUCAGUGUUGGGCCAGUAGCUGCUUCUUUUUCUGGAUGAAAUUAGCAAAGCCAACACUGCUAGAUGUCCACGAGCAGUGCUUGCAGGCAGCUGGUCAGAACUGAUGCUCUUGAGGGCCUGUCAGUUCGCUCAGGGAACAUCCCAAAAAUUGAUUGUGCACCUGGGAACCUCUGUGGUUCCCAUUUUACAGAGCAGGAUUAGGUGCUGGAAUGGAUCAAAGUAUUGUCACAUCAUACUGGUAAAUCUUAAGAGGGGAAAAUGAAAUAAAGGAGACAGACAUACAUAGCUCAAUUACAAGCCAAGGGGCACAGAGUGGAUGCCAGGGGCCACUUCUUUCCCUGCCAAGUCUGAAGUCCUUUAUCAGCAAGGAGCAAGAAUUGUCCCAUUUUGAGCUAAAAAGGCAGGGUGCUUGUACAAGAAGAGGUUAGAUCAUGAACAGUAAGGAGUGUAUGGAUAGGGAGUUAAUUCAUGCCUGUUCUUUACAAGCAGUGAGUGGCAAGACAAAAAACAAACAAACAAACAGUUUCCAGGUACAAGUUUAGGAUAAAAGCUCUUCAUGUUGUUGAAAAUUCCUCCAUGGAUGUGACAGCCCUUUCAGUGGAAACCAGGGCUAUAAAACAUGCAAAUGUUUAAAUGGGCACCAGGAGGUCUCUACACCAGAGAUUGAUGGGAGCUUGAAGGGCAGGUGGAGGUAAUACUAUUUGGUUUUUAAUUCCAUUCCUUUGGUCUUUCCUUAGGCAAUUGUUUACUGGGUUAUUAAAUCCUUUGGUCCAUGCUGGCUCAUGUUUUCCACCUGAAGUGUCCUGAGGCUGAACAAACCCAUGGAUGCCCUGAGCACCUUUGGAACACAGCAGGCAAGAGAAGACAGUGCAGCACCAGGAACGUGCCAAGGUGAGCACACUCAGGAGUGAGCCAGCAGCUGGUAUUUAAUGUGCUGGGUGGAGAAUCCCAUCUCCAGCUCUCAUCUCAAAUUACUUUUCUUGCUACUUACAAAAUGGUGUCCUCAUCCUCUCACAUAAAAUGUGAGGAUGCUUCUGGGUGAUUUUUAUUUAAUAAUAGAAAAUGGCUGCAGACAGUUUUUAAAUUUCAGACUUUCACAUUGAGGAAUUAUGUGGAAGAAAUUAGUCUGGAAAGGAUUAGUAAAUUAAUUUUGUAUUUUUUUGUGAAUAGCAGUUUACUGCCUUUGGGGACCAAAUUCUACAUGAUUUUAAGAGUUUUAUUCCUAUCCAAAACUGCCACAGACAUAGGCCCAUAGAAUUUGCAUUUUCAAUAGUCUCUUAGGAAGAGGAUGGCAUCUUUGACAUUCUGGUGUCUUUUCAUUGCAUGAGUCCCUAAGGACAGUCUUUGAGAGCUUCUGAGGAAAGCAGGUAAUACAGAGUUCUGAAGGCAUGCCAUGGGAUUCGCAAUUAGCCUGGAUGCAAAGAUCUUUGUGCUGCAUUUGAAUUUUGACCUUUGUUAGCAGUGCCUGGGAAGGGCUGGUACAGGCUUCUGGGUAUCCUCACCUGGCACAAGGGAGGUCCUGGUUCAAGGUGGGGCAGCCUGGGCCCCAUUGCUAGAGAAAUUACGACAAAAAGGGCAGGUGGCUUUUGCCCCUGGGAACCCCUGCACUGUGGGAUCGGUUGGAACCAGCCCUGCUGUUCAGGGUCAUGCCAGUACUCUGGACUUCUGUGAUCUACGUUGUAUGGGUUAAACACCUCCUGGUAAUGAAGCUGAAGAUGUGCCCAGCCUGUGUGGAGCAGAGCUGAGCCUGGCAGGAGUGAGCAAUGCCCUUGUAGCAGUGACCCUCAGAUGACUUUCCAGGAAGAUUUAAAAAAAAAAAAAAAUAGGAAAAGCAUUCACUUAUAUAGAUUUGGCUAAAUAAAAAACCAUUUCAUGGGGGACACUAAGGGUGAGCCCAAAUCUGUGUGAGUGGAAGGUGACCCUUUAGCCUGCUUACUUCAAUUCUGGCUUUGCCUGAGUACUUGUAUUAGGGGAGGCAUCGAGCCAGCCUGGCUCCCUGUGCCUGUACAGGCCAGAGCAGGAGCAGUCACAAACAGUGUUACUGCUCCUGCUGCUGUCUGAAGAGCUCUGUCAUUGUGCUGGUGCUCUCUGGUGGGGCAGGGGAGGUUACCCGCCCCUCACAGGAAAGAUUUUUGGGGGCGGGGAGUACAUACAAAAGAAGCAGUCUGAGCCCAAGGUAUUCCCAGAGGAAAUGCUUGUCUGUGCAGGAUGAUUAUUUCUGUGUCCACCUAUGCAUCCCACCCCACUGCUGUUUUAUCUGUGGGAAAUGUCCUUCCCUUUCCCAGCAGAUGGACUUGGCUUCCCUUGUGGAUAGGAUCAGAGUCGUGCAUCCUGUUGGCAGCUCGGCUUUCUUUGACUGGGUGCCCUGGAGCAUGAAUUUCCUUAGGAAAGCCAGAGAUGGCAGCAAGACAAGUUUUCUGCCGGUUCCCUUGUUCCAGUUUCUUCCUUUUGGCAGAACAGGAUUGGAUUUUCUUUCUCACUAUUAUUAUGGGCUGCAAAGAACAGCUCCUAAAUUAGCCCCGAGGAGGUGGAAGGGUAGAGGAAUCGCUGUGGGGAGUUUGGUCUGACGCAUGUAAUAAGCACAAGCUCUACCUGAUUCGACUGAUGAACCCUGUCAUAGGCACAGCCCUCUCCCCAGUUUGUUUUUGUUGUUUUAAUUAACUUUUGGCAGCCAUGCCAAAUGCAACUCCCAUGCCUUUUCCCAACCACUGCUGCAAUGUUGCAGUGAAGUUCUUUGGCCACAGCUUGGCUUGGGAGGCUUGGGUCCAUCCAAGGAGCUUCCUGUGAAACUCAAGGCCAAUGUGAAGGUGCCUAAAUAUCCCCCAAUAGUGACCCUUUAUCCUUCUUUCCUAAAACACUCCUGGCUCCAUCUUCUCCCCACUGCUUUGAGCAGCUCAGAGUCCGACAGCUCUGCUGCUCUUCCCACUUCUUCGGGACACUCGUUGGCCAGAGAUGCUCCUGCUGGAAGGGCAGAGUUGGGCUCUUCAGCCAUCCAGUGUGGAUGUGCACCCAUGGGGAUACAGAUCCGGUGGGUGUGACACUGUUACCAGAGCCUCUGAAGCAGGGGACUGACACCCUGGAGCACCUAAGCUGGUAGGGAGGGGAGGGAAGGCAGCACACAAAGCCCAUCAGUGCCCUGCAGCAUCCUUGGGCAGAGCAGGAUUUAGGUCACCUGCCUAGGGAGCAGUUUGUGCUCUGCUGACUGCCUCUGUCACACAGGCCUGAGGUGCUGACAGGAGAGAAGGGCAACUUUUGAACCCCAAGAAUAACUUCUCUUGACUUCAGAUAAAGUGUUAUGGUUUGCUUUCAGUGAGGGAAGGGAGCCUUGCACCCACCCAUUUUUACAGAAACCCGCCCUAAGAAGGUGGAGCUGCUCAUGCAUUCCUGGGUGCUUCAGCCUUUGUGCAGAGCCCCAGAGAACAGCAGCCACAUCAAAUCUCAUCCACUGCGGAUUUUCAUUAUCCACUUGAAAAACUGGGUUAAGCUACCUCAGGCAAAAAGAAAUCCUGCAGGCUGCUGCGAGGCUGCCAUUGCUAGAGAGGCUCUGGCAGCUGGGAAAGGGCACUGCUUUCGUGCAACAAUGAACCUUUACAACCGUGUCACAAAUAGCUCCUCGCUGUUCGGAAAGAAACAGAGGAAAUUCUUCUCACUCCCAUUCUCCUUUCAGGUUGCAUUUUCUCCUUCCAAGUAGCCUAAAAGCCAUUUGGUUAUUUGCAGCACAGGAGCAGAGCUGGUUGGGACCAGGAGCCAAAAAACCAAUGAGACAAAAGGUGGUGGUGAGUUGCUGGGCACCAUAAUGGAGAGGACUGAAAAAAGAUGAAUUGGGAUGUCAAGGAGAAGAGCAGCACACAUACUCUGGAGGAACACCAGCAGGUAUAGAAUUACGUUUUUCUUUGCAAAGUGUUGAAAGGGGCCUUUCCUCUGUGGCUGGGUGCAAAUACAAUUGCUUAUGCUUGGAGACCAACUUUUCUAGUGCAUAUGUCCAAGAUAUAACUAUGCCUACUAAUUCAUGUGUUUGUCUUUAUCACCAACAGUUUCAAUCUGAAAAGGCUGGGAUACUGAUAGACUAGUAGGCAAUGAACUUUUCCAAUUCCUGAGAGUGAUCUGCAAUUUAUUCUAGAGUGGCUGCCUGCAGAUGCUACUCUUAUUCACAGCAAAUAAAUGUCUCUCCCCUCCCUGCUUUCCCUCAAACUUUUCCAUUCUUUGGAGAUUAUUAUUUGCCAUCAUUUUAGCUGACUCUUUCUAAAUUUUGUGUGUGUCCAGGAGAGAUGGAAGAGGUUUGCUGUGCUGUUUCCUCAGAGGCGUUGAGACAAUGCUGCCAUCUUAAAUCCUGCAUUGUUGCCCCUGGGGAGUCUGAAUCUGGCAGGAGGAAUAUCUAACAUUUCUUUUAAGGUUGCAGUCCAGCCCUGAGCCAUAGAAGUAGAAAAAGGAGCCUGUUUUGGCUUAUUGCACCGAGUGUGUUCUCUGAGCUGCAGUUGGUACCAGCUGCCUCCAGGCCAGGGCUGCGCUGCGGGAGGUGAGUCCGUCUGCUCAGGGGAGCUGAUUCUCAUCCAAGUUUGUGGAUUGCCAAUUCCCCCUGAAUCUGAGAACCUCCACUGCUGCUCUUGCUUCUUUGAUGAAGGACAGACUGCAGGUUCCCAGGCAAAACCUGUGACAGGAAACAUAAUCUGCAAAAAAGCCGUGGUAAAAUACAUGCCAGUAUUGCUGGUGCAGUUGUUCCUGAGGAAUCCUGCCCAAGCCCUCACCUGGGGAAGUGGGAGUAUCAGAGAAGCGAGAGAGGUUUCUGAUUUCUCAAUUCUCAUUACCCUUUGUGUAUUGAUUUCUUAAACUCUCAUUCCCAAGACAAAAGUGUGGCCGUGCUGUAAUCUAAGGAAACUGCUGCAUGGAGACUGUCUCUGAAGAGAGAGGGGAGGUGGCUUUGCUUUGCAGGGGUCUGAUGAGAUGCCAUUCAUUACUGCCUGUAAAGUGCCUUUUCAAAUCUCAGGUGAGGGUGCUUUAGGAGAGUCUGUGCUUUGUCUUGGUGACAGCUGGGGGUGUCCUUCUCUGCAGUGUCUGUGAGGUGGCAGUUUCAUUCUCUCUUUUCCUCUCUGGAGACAGAGGGACAAGUGGAAUAGGAUAUUGGAAAACACUGCAAAAGGGCAUGUUACGUUUGGCUUAAUUAAUAAAGACCGUGUUGUUGGAAUUAAUUGCAAAUUCUCCUGAGAAUAAUUUCACAGGAGGUUGAGUUACUGUAGGCCCUGGCCUGAUCUGAAUGGAUGGCAAUGUUGUCAAUGACAGCACCAAGGUAACGUGUGUGUCUGUGUCAAUCAGAUCCUGGGUUUUAUAAUUUCAUAAAUUAAAUUCCUUCUUUUAUUCAGUUAGUGUUGCUAAAGAUGAUUUGCAUUGCUUAUUGUCCCUCUGAUGGCAUGGCCUGAUCAGACACAACGUUAGCUCAGGUCACGGCACAUCCAGGGAACAAAGUGCUGUGCUGCUGGGGGCGACUCUCCAGCCGUGACAGGGAACAAGGAGAAAUCCUCCUUUGGUUUAUGGCACAGCUGCAUGUCUCAGCUGGUGUGUAGCUGGUCUCACUGCAGGGGCUUGUAAUCCUCUCCCUGGGUGCCUCGUGCUGUGUGUGCCCAGGGAAUGAUGGAGGGAGGCACCCGUGGGGGGCUGUUCCUGUCCCGGGGAGCCCUCCUCUGAGCCAGGCAGUGGUCACGCUGAUCCAUCACCCUGACGAUGCACCCACACAUCUCCAGGCUCUGCACUGCUUUGGGAUGAGCCAGCCUCCACGCUGAGCUGCAGGCACGCAUGGUGGUUUGAUCGCCUCUUGAGUGUGGAUGUGACGUCUCACAGCAGAAACUCGUGAGUUCCUCCCCUGCUGCUCAGCAGUGACUGCUGUGGUGCAAAAAACACACAGCAAAGGAGAAAAGGAGUCUGUUUCUGGUGUGAAGGGGACAGACUGUCUUUCAAACCAGCGUUAAGGGCUGCUAAUGCAGCUACUUACAUGUUGAAAAAGUUUGAGAUCUUGGCCGUGUUGACCAGCCAGAAUCUCUUGCCUCCCCUUUUGUGAUGCUAAGCAACUUCAAAAAAAUAGUCUCCUGGGGACUGGGCCCAUAAAGACAUCAAAUAGGUCAAGGGGCUUGUUGCUGGUUGCUUCUGUUGAUGUUUUGUUUUCCCUGGAAUUCUGGCUUUUUCUUAGCACGGCUUAGGUGCAAACUAAAUUCCUUCAUGUGGAAAACCCAAGAUGCUCUGAAGAAACACCUUGAGCAAAUCUGACAUGGCAGCCCGACAGAGCCUGGCCAGAGGUCAGUGUUGAGCCACACUCACAUACCUGGAAUGCUGGGCAGCCUGGUCCCAGUGGAGCCUCUGCAGCCAUGGGGAAAUGAGGGACACAGCCCAAGGCAUGGGAGUCACCUUUACUGUGGCUGUUGGCAAAGACUGACUGUAACCCCACUUGUGUGUUCUCCUGCAAGGCUUCUGCUACUUUGUGGAAUAAGGUUUAAACCAGGUCCUAGCAAUCUGCUAACUUGGAGCUGUGAAACAGCAGCCAUCUGCAGAUCAUACAUGACUGGUUUUGCCUGCAAAUGCCACUCAUUUGGCAUGCAGGACAUGGGUUUGGUGGGUACCACUGGUGGUACAGACAAUGCUCUCCAGGAAGAGCCGGAGCAGCGAGGACAAAGGGCUGGUUCUGUUCAGCGUAGAUAUUCGAGAGCUGGGACAGCUCUCCCUGUCCUUGUGUCCACCCUGCUCUGCCCUGAGGUGACUGGGAAGCGUUGCUUGUCCAGGUCAGAAUGGCAUGGUGGGGGAGACAGUGGUGCCCUUUUCUAUGUCUGUGUGCUGACUACACUGAAAGGCUUUUUCAAGUCAAUUUUUUCUAAAGAAAAUGCCUUUGUCUCCAGUGGCUGGACAGAGAUGGUAGGUUUAUGAUUCUGAUGGUCUUAGAGUGUGAACCUGUAACUCAUCUUGCAGUAUAUUCUCUACAUCCUUUCACUUGGGCACCCAGAGCAUGACCAAACAUCUUCCCCACAUAUUUCAGAAAAGAACAAGACAGGAAAAGCAACGGGUAAUAUAUCUGACUGUAUUUCAAAGUUGUUGAUUGUAAACAAACUUUGUUGAAGAAAUAAAAUCACAUGACAAGA